AUCAACCUCCCAGGUUAUGUCAAGCCCUGGUCCGGAGACGGCAUCAGAUAAUGAGCCACAGACGAUCGAGUCCAAGCCAGAGCCUACUGAAAUUAAAAGGGGGAAAUUGUAUACAUUUCGAAGAGACCAGUUUCAUGGCCGGCAAUAGUGCAUUUGUGACUGGUUUUAAUACAUUUCGAAUUGCAGGCCGAGCUACAAAGGCCAGUGCAUUCUUUCAGAAUAUUCCUUUAAUUAGAGACACUUACGCCAUUAUUAUUGAUUUUUUUUAUUUAGGAAUUUAGUUCAUCAGGGUUUUAUAUGACAAAUUUUUACUGUUGUAUGAUACAGGUUAAGAAAUCAAUGGAAGAUGCCACUUUUGUGGCCUUUUGCCAAUUUAUUGCAGACGUGUUCAGUGGCAUUAGUAAGUUUAGCCUCCUACUUCAAAGGAAUGAGAUCAUCCUACCACAGAAAUGGUGUAAACACUGAGCUUGCAAAAGAAGAGUUUUUAGGCUUGAAGCUGUUAAUUGCCAGGAUGUUCAAAGACAAGACCUGCCUCAGCCUUCGGGAGCUCAUGUUGACCAGAGAGCCCUACUGCUCAGAGUACAAGAACAUCCUGCACCUUGUACACAUUAUGUUGGUCCUCCCUGUCUCAGCCGCAGUUUGUGAGAGAGGGUUCUCUGCACAGAAGAGGAUCAAAUCAGACAUUAGAGCAUCCCUUCAUUUAAAUACAGUUGAAGAUCUUAUAAUAAUCAGUGUAGAGGGGCCAAGUCUGGAAGAUUUUGAUGCUCGAGAGAGUGUGGCCAGCUGGUUUAGCCAAGGCCAAAGAUCAAGAAGGCCAAACUACAGGAGUUGGCCAUCCGAGGGGCAUGUGACUGCAAUGGAGGAUAGUCCAUAAGACAUUGAGCCAUGAGAUGCUCAGUUUGAAGCCCUUGAAACACUUAAUUAAAAUUUUCUUUUUAUUUAAUUUAUCUUGAGAUGUUUUAAGUUUAAAUUUCAGCUCAGUGAAGCACUUCAAG
ensembl:lncRNA